CCUACGGGGCGCAGCAGUGAGGAAUAUUGGUCAAUGGACGCAAGUCUGAACCAGCCAUGCCGCGUGCAGGAAGACGGCUCUAUGAGUUGUAAACUGCUUUUGUACGAGGGUAAACGCAGAUACGCGUAUCUGUCUGAAAGUAUCUUACGAAUAAGGAUCGGCUAACUCCGUGCCAGCAGCCGCGGUAAUACGGAGGAUUCAAGCGUUAUCCGGAUUUAUUGGGUUUAAAGGGUGCGUAGGCGGGUUGAUAAGUUAGAGGUGAAAUCCCGAGGCUCAACUUCGGAAUUGCGUUUGAUACUGUCAGGCUAGAGAGUAGUUGAGGUAGGCGGAAUGUAUGGUGUAGCGGUGAAAUGCUUAGAGAUCAUACAGAACACCGAUUGCGAAGGCAGCUUACCAAGCUACCUCUGACGUUGAGGCACGAAAGCGUGGGGAGCAAACAGGAUUAGAUACCCCAGUAGUC
rnacentral:rRNA from 1 species